GGGCUCGUGGCGGAACUGGCAGACGCGCCGGACUCAAAAUCCGGUUGGAAACAGUGUGGGUUCGAUUCCCACCGGGCCCACCA
rnacentral:tRNA from 1 species